GGAAGGAUGGCCGAGUGGUUUAAGGCGUCAGUCUUGAAAACUGAUGUAUGCUUAACGCGUACCGUGGGUUCGAAUCCCACUCCUUCCG
rnacentral:tRNA from 1 species